GGGACUCUUCCAGGACAGUGUCUGAAAUGGGGCCCUUACCUUUAGCCAUGACAAACAGCUCUUUCCACAGAGGGGCCUGUCUGCCUGGGCAUGUCUCUGCAAUGCUGGGGUUUUUGGGUAGAUUUUAAACUUAUGAGUCAAGGGUGUGGGAAGACCCCACAUUCGCCAUUCAUGAGCAUUUAUUCCACGAGCAUGUUUUGACCUAUGAUGUGCCAGGCACUGGGCUAGGCCAGCCAAUCAGGAGUUGGUCUGGACCUGCUAAGUUUGGGGCCUAAAGUCUCCCUUCCUGGGAGGAGCUUUGGUCAGACAGGGGCAAAGUGGGGACCUGCCAGGGACCACGUGACGUGGGAGCACACAGGCUCAGCAAUGCCAGUCCCCUCACUCUGUAACCAAAGCAAAUGCCUUCUGUCCUCGUGUGUCACAGGGGAGUAAUUCCUCAUCUCACGGGGAAAGAUGACCCCUAAACUAGCCACUGAGGUCCCCACAGCAGAGGCGAUUAUUCCAGCUAUUGUUAUGGAAGAGUGUCUAUUGUUACCCUCUCUAUCACUUUACACUUUACGAAGAGCUGUACAUCCACUACCUCGUUUAAUGUAACACUCCAGGGAGGUUUUAACAACAUCACACCUGUUUUCAAACGGGGAAACUGCAUCGAGGGAGGAGAAGGCACUUGUCAAGGUCACACGGAUGAUAAACGGUGAGACCAGUAUGGGAAUCUGAAUGCCGGACCCCCUGCUUUGCCCCCUCCUCCCUGUCCUGGGGCACCUGGUGACCAGACCUCCCACCCUGGCAGGCCUCCAACCAGCCCGGCUGUUUCCCACGCCUGGGGAAUGGGAACCAGCUGUGUGCUAGUGCGGUGGGGCAUGGAUUGUUCUGGAUCUGGUCUCAUGGAGACUGCACAUCAGAAAGACCACAACCCUCAACUCUGCUGCUCACCCAAGUCACUUCACUCUUCCUUGACUCAGUUUCCCUCUCAGUAAGUUGACAGAAAGCCUGUGAGGGGAUCUGAGUGACUUAUGUCCUAUAAGAAAUCUGAAGAAAUAGGCCGGGCGCAGUGGCUCACGCCUGUAAUCUCAGCACCUUGGGAGGCUGAGGUGGGCGGAUCAUGAGGUCAGGAGUUUGACAGCAGCCUGGGCAACAUGGUGAAACCCUGUAUCUACUAAAAAUACAAAAAUUAGCUGGAUGUGGUGGUGCGUGCCUGUAGUCCCAGCUACUUGGGAGGCUGAGGCAAGAGAAUCACUUGAAUCCGGGAGGCAGAGGUUGCAGUGAGCCGAGAUCGCGCCACUGCACUCCAGCCUGGGUGACGGGGUGAGACUCCGUCUCAAACAGACAAACAAAAAAGAAAUCUGAUGAAAUAGUUUCUUGUUGGUGGCCACUUGGACGACCUUUCCUCUCUCCUGUGGGUGACUGUAAUUGGAAUGGGGCACACUGGCAUGCCCCUUAGGGCCCAUUCGUUUUUCCCGAAUCACUCUUUAAGAAUCUGGUAUCACCUAACAGAAUGAUGGGGUUUUCAGGGAAGGGACAGAGGCUG
rnacentral:lncRNA from 10 species